CUGCGGCAGGCGGGCGGGCAGGCAGGCGGGCGCAGGCGGGUCGGGGCGGACCCGGGCGGGCUGGGGCGGGCACGGCGACUCUAGACGCUCGCUCACUGGUGAGCUUUGACGUCGAUCAAGUGGGAAGGGGCGGAACACGGAGCUUUCGCCCACUCUGAUUCGGUCUGGCCUGGAGUACGCCACUGUGACGCUCCAGGCCCCGAUUAUGUAAAGCGCAGUCACGCGGGGGCGCCACCUGGAGGGGACAGGCUCCCGGCUGGGACCUCGGAAGAGCUUAGGCUCCGCCCUACUUGCUCGGCGUUCCCGCCCUCGCCCCGCCUCUUCACUGCCUCGGGCGCAUCUGCGCUUCUCGCGAUACCUUCGGGGAUUUGUGAUGUUUUGGUUUCCAUGGAGCUGCCCUCUGGGAGCACGAGGGGUACAAUUGGAACGAAGGCGGAGCACAGUUAACUGGAACUCUGCAGCCGCCCAAGACCAAAGAAGCUUCUCUCGCAGGCAACCACCUGGUGAUUCCUGACAAGGCCUGGCUUCCGGAAGGCAAGCCACGCCCUCCGGGCUCCUCUGCCUCUCUUUGGCUCCAGCUUGGCACGUAUAGGAGCUGCCCAAGGAAUGACAGACUUCUUGUUCUUGAGGUGUUGGCAAAGCUUCCUGCACUGCUGACCUAUCCAAGUCCUGCCUUGUAGCUGCUCUUGGGCAUAAGUUGGCUCUGCCAACCACCCGUACAGUACUAAUUGCAGUUUUACCUCAACGUGCGCUUUUUACAAUUAAAAGCUGACUUAAUGGCUUCUA